GAUGGUAAGAAGAAUUUAGCUCAGGAAGUUCAUCAGCUUUCCCGAUUGGGUGUUCGCUUAGUUGAUUCAGCAGAAGGUAAUGUAUGGGUGCAGAGUAGUUCAGAAUCAUCUCUAGUUUCCGAGGUGAAGGAAAAGCAGUAUAGGGAUCCCAGCCUAGUUAAGUUGAAAUAAUUGGUCAGAGAUCAGAAUAUAGAGAUUUUCUCCCUAAGGGG
rnacentral:lncRNA from 1 species